rnacentral:rRNA from 1 species
UUGAACGCUGGCGGCAGGCCUAACACAUGCAAGUCGAACGGUAACAGGAAACAGCUUGCUGUUUCGCUGACGAGUGGCGGACGGGUGAGUAAUGUCUGGGAAACUGCCUGAUGGAGGGGGAUAACUACUGGAAACGGUAGCUAAUACCGCAUAACGUCGCAAGACCAAAGAGGGGGACCUUCGGGCCUCUUGCCAUCGGAUGUGCCCAGAUGGGAUUAGCUAGUAGGUGGGGUAACGGCUCACCUAGGCGACGAUCCCUAGCUGGUCUGAGAGGAUGACCAGCCACACUGGAACUGAGACACGGUCCAGACUCCUACGGGAGGCAGCAGUGGGGAAUAUUGCACAAUGGGCGCAAGCCUGAUGCAGCCAUGCCGCGUGUAUGAAGAAGGCCUUCGGGUUGUAAAGUACUUUCAGCGGGGAGGAAGGGAGUAAAGUUAAUACCUUUGCUCAUUGACGUUACCCGCAGAAGAAGCACCGGCUAACUCCGUGCCAGCAGCCGCGGUAAUACGGAGGGUGCAGGCGUUAAUCGGAAUUACUGGGCGUAAAGCGCACGCAGGCGGUUUGUUAAGUCAGAUGUGAAAUCCCCGGGCUCAACCUGGGAACUGCAUCUGAUACUGGCAAGCUUGAGUCUCGUAGAGGGGGGUAGAAUUCCAGGUGUAGCGGUGAAAUGCGUAGAGAUCUGGAGGAAUACCGGUGGCGAAGGCGGCCCCCUGGACGAAGACUGACGCUCAGGUGCGAAAGCGUGGGGAGCAAACAGGAUUAGAUACCCUGGUAGUCCACGCCGUAAACGAUGUCGACUUGGAGGUUGUGCCCUUGAGGCGUGGCUUCCGGAGCUAACGCGUUAAGUCGACCGCCUGGGGAGUACGGCCGCAAGGUUAAAACUCAAAUGAAUUGACGGGGGCCCGCACAAGCGGUGGAGCAUGUGGUUUAAUUCGAUGCAACGCGAAGAACCUUACCUGGUCUUGACAUCCACGGAAGUUUUCAGAGAUGAGAAUGUGCCUUCGGGAACCGUGAGACAGGUGCUGCAUGGCUGUCGUCAGCUCGUGUUGUGAAAUGUUGGGUUAAGUCCCGCAACGAGCGCAACCCUUAUCCUUUGUUGCCAGCGGUCCGGCCGGGAACUCAAAGGAGACUGCCAGUGAUAAACUGGAGGAAGGUGGGGAUGACGUCAAGUCAUCAUGGCCCUUACGACCAGGGCUACACACGUGCUACAAUGGCGCAUACAAAGAGAAGCGACCUCGCGAGAGCAAGCGGACCUCAUAAAGUGCGUCGUAGUCCGGAUUGGAGUCUGCAACUCGACUCCAUGAAGUCGGAAUCGCUAGUAAUCGUGGAUCAGAAUGCCACGGUGAAUACGUUCCCGGGCCUUGUACACACCGCCCGUCACACCAUGGGAGUGGGUUGCAAAAGAAGUAGGUAGCUUAACCUUCGGGAGGGCGCUUACCACUUUGUGAUUCAUGACUGGGGUG